CAGAGAACGUUCUGAGCGUCAGCUGCAGGAUGAUUGCAACCAAAGUACCGAAACCACCUCCGCUUGUUGCAGCGCUGAGCCAGCCUUGCUGAAGCCCACUAGGAGAGCGUGACCUUGCACCAACCUCUCCCUCACAGCUCCUGGAGGGGCCCUAGGUCCCCCCUGGCAGUUAAGUGGCGAUUGGUUGCUUUAUGGCUUCUAGAUCUAAAUCCAGGCCCAGGGAUGAAAAUAUCGCCUUACGGUCUCAUGAAUCCAGUGAGGUAGAUCUUAUAGCUCCAUAUUUGAGAUGAAGAAACUCUGACUCAGUGAGACUCGCCAACUUCCAAGGACACACAAUGAGUAAGGGACAGAGUGAGAACUUGAACCCAGGCCUCCUGGCUCCUCAAUGCUGCAGAAUACCUCCUCCCAAAUAACAGCAGAUAUCCUCCACCCCAUCUUCUAGAAGGGGAAACCGGAAGUCAGAGAAGAUUUAUGAAGAAUAACUCUUUCUGUAGUGAGGCAGAACAGAAAGAGGGGCAGCCCAAAUUGGCGUCUCAUCUGGAGAUCAUGGAGUCAGAUGGCAAUCACAAUAAUCGGCUUAGUCACUGGUGAAGGCUGGGUGCGCGGCCACAGAAGGCUUCCUGGUCCUUCACCCCCCAGUUGGACAGACGUUGCCAUCCCGGCACUGACAGAAUUGGACAUAUCAAAGAACAGAGCAGAACAAACUCUGCACAGCAACGUCUGAAAAAAGAGGAGAAACACCCUAUUCUUUCCCCUGACUCACCAAUCAGGUUGGUGAAUACAUUCACAUUCCAGGAGGGUGUGCUCCCCACCUCCAUGAGGAUAGAAGCUCCUAUGCUCAGGAUGGACACUUCCAAGCUUCAUUCUGUGUACUUCUUCAUCUGGCUGUUGGUUUGUAUUCUUUAUAAUAUCUUUUAAAAUAAACUGUCAUAGUAAGUAAAGUGUUUCCCUGAGUUCUGUGAGCCAUUGUAGCAAAUUAUUGAGCCCAAAGAGGGGUCAGGGAACGCUUAAUUUUUAGCUGGUGGGUCAAAAGUAUGGGAGGCCCAAGACUUGUGAUUGGUGUCUGAAAUGGGGGGCAAUUUUGUGGGACUGAGCCCUUAACCUAUGGGGUCUGCACUAACUCAGGUAGUUAGUGUCAGAAUUUAAUUGAAUUGUAGGAUACUCUUUGGUGUUCAGAGAGUUGGAGAAUUGAUUGGUGUGGGAUAAAACACCCACACAUUUGAUGUCAGAAGUACUGUGUGUAAAAACAAAUCCGAGACACAACAGAAAUGUUAGGUGUUUUCUAUGUCUUAAUCUCAUUACAUGCAAGAAUGCAACUUUUGCUAAUUAUUUCAUAACUUUGAACCUGACAUACCAUCUUCUGGGGAAAAAAACUAUUAGCAAAAAUGGGUAACAUUUCUGUAGAAAAGAAUCAUUGUGUUAUGGUGACAAUGAUAAGGCUUCGAAGCCAGAGAUAUAGGGGUUCAACUCCUUGCUCUGUCAAUUAUGCAUUUGGGUUUGGUGAAGUUACUUAAACCCUUAAGCCUUCAUUUCUAAUAUGAGAUUUAAAAUUGUAACUUAGAAUUGUAAAUAUUUGUAAACAUUCUGGUAUAUAAUUGGUGCUAAUAGGUAGCUAUUGUUACUAUGAGUCCACUGGAAAUGCAGAAUGAAUAUUGUGACUAACCGCCCAUUCUACCAGGAGGCUGGCAGCAUGUGUGAGUUAGUUUCCUAACAGGACAGUUUCAAACUUUGGUCUUUGUAACACACGGCUCAAAGGUUGGUGAGAGAGCUCGCUUUCAUAACAGCUUCUGAAAAUAAAGUCUCUACCUUCUGGCAGAAAUAGCAGUAUCUAAAAUGGACUUGCAUGGUUCCUAACACAUUAUAGGCACUUCAUUUCACACAAGGUUCAUUUGGGGGAGUAUAUUUUAAAAGUAUCACACUCGUUAAAAAUUAUGGAUAGCAGUACAAAAAUACCAAUACAGUAGUCAUGGUGGAUGGUGUGCUAGUCUCCCAGUUGCAUUGUUUGCUGAAGAUGGAAAGAGUCUGCGAGACAUUUCUCCUGGUAACUGAUCAUUCUGUCAAGGCUCAGGAUUUUCAGUGUUGAAGAAGAGAAAGCUGUUUGACUUUUGUUGGUUGGCAGAGAGAAUGAAUACCUUGGAAAUCAUUCAGGUGGAGGAUUACUUCAAGAAGAGCCUGACCUUCUGGGACAGCUCAGUGCAAAAGCAAAUCCUUCCAAGACUCCUGCCACCAUAGAUUGGGUUUGUCUGUCUUUGAAUUUUAAAUAAGUAGACUCAUACAGAUGUAUUCUUUCCUGACUCAAAUUAGUAUUUGUGAGAUUCACUCAUAUUGUUAUAGGUUAUAGUGGACCAAAAAGCAUGCUCUGCUGGCAACAGGAAGCUGGUCUCAGUGGCAGGACUGCAAAUAAGGAAGGGGCGUUCCUUGGCCCCUUCUGCAAAGCCAGU